UCUCUGCGCAUCAGUGAGUGUAUGUAGGGGUCAGUGUCUGUGUGCUGUGAGAGUGUGCAUUGGUCAAACGUCUGUGUAUUAGUAAGUGUGUAUAUGGGUCAGUGUCUGUGUAUUAUUAAGUGUGUGUGUAAAGGUCAGUGUCUUUGAUCAUUGAGUGCGUGUAUUGGUAAGUGAUUGUGUAUCAGUGAGUGUGCAUUUGGGUCAGUGUCUGCGUAUCAGUGAGUGUGUGUAUAGGUCAGUGUCCAUAUCAGUGAGUGUGUGUGUGGUUCAGUGUCUGUGUAUUAGUAAGUGUGUAUGGGUCAUUGUCUUUAAUCAUUAAAGCGUUUAUAGGUCAGAUUUUUAGUGAGUGUGUGCAUGGGUUAGUGUCUGU